GAUGAACGCUGGCGGCGUGGAUAAGGCAUGCAAGUCGAGCGGGCCCUUCGGGGUCAGCGGCAGACGGGUGAGUAACGCGUGGGAACGUGCCCUUCGGUUCGGAAUAACUCAGGGAAACUUGAGCUAAUACCGGAUACGCCCUUUUGGGGAAAGGCUUGCUGCCGAAGGAUCGGCCCGCGUCUGAUUAGCUGGUUGGUGAGGUUACGGCUCACCAAGGCGACGAUCAGUAGCUGGUCUGAGAGGAUGAUCAGCCACACUGGGACUGAGACACGGCCCAGACUCCUACGGGAGGCAGCAGUGGGGAAUAUUGGACAAUGGGGGCAACCCUGAUCCAGCCAUGCCGCGUGAGUGAUGACGGCCUUAGGGUUGUAAAGCUCUUUUCUCCGGGACGAUAAUGACGGUACCGGAGGAAUAAGCCCCGGCUAACUUCGUGCCAGCCGCCGCCGUAA
rnacentral:rRNA from 1 species